rnacentral:rRNA from 1 species
AACGAACGCUGGCGGCAGGCCUAACACAUGCAAGGCGAACGCUCUAGCAAUAGGGAGUGGCGCACGGGUGAGUAACGCGUAGGAAUCUACCCAGUAGCCUGGGAGAACAGCGGGAAAGGGAUGCUAAUACCGGAUACGCCCCUCAAGGGGGAAAGGUUUACUAAUACUGCAUGAGCCUGCGUUAGAUGAGCUAGUUGGUGAGGUAAUGGCUCACCAAGGCUCCGAUCUAUAGCCGGUCUGAGAGGAUGAUCAGCCACAUUGGGACUGAGACACGGCCCAAACUCCUACGGGAGGCAGCAGUGGGGAAUAUUGGACAAUGGGCGCAAGCCUGAUCCAGCCAUGCCGCGUGAGUGAUGAAGGCCUUAGGGUUGUAAAGCUCUUUCACCGGAGAAGAUAAUGACGGUAUCCGGAGAAGAAGCCCCGGCUAACUUCGUGCCAGCCGCCGCAGUAAAAC